CUUGGAGGCAGAUCUUCUAGCCUCAAUCAAGCAUGCAAAUGACUAUAGCCUUGGGCUGAUAUCUUGACUGCAGUCUCAGGAGACCCUGAGCAAGAAUCACCAGCUGAGCUUCUCUUAAAUUCCUGACCCAAUGACACUACUCUCUCUUUGGCUCUUCUCACUUGUUUGCUCUGAUGAAGCAAGCUGGCAUGUUGUGAACUAUCUUAUGGAGGUGCCAGCAUGAUAAAGAACUGAGGACGGCAUCAGGCCAACAGUAAGUGAGAAACUGAG
rnacentral:lncRNA from 1 species